rnacentral:rRNA from 1 species
GCUAUACAUGCAAGUCGAGCGAAUGGAUUAAGAGCUUGCUCUUAUGAAGUUAGCGGCGGACGGGUGAGUAACACGUGGGUAACCUGCCCAUAAGACUGGGAUAACUCCGGGAAACCGGGGCUAAUACCGGAUAACAUUUUGAACCGCAUGGUUCGAAUUUGAAGGCCGCUCGGGGUGUCACUUAUGGAGGGACCCGCGUCGCAUUAGCUAGUUGGUGAGGUAACGGCUCACCAAGGCAACGAUGCGUAGCCGACCUGAGAGGGUGAUCGGCCACACUGGGACUGAGACACGGCCCAGACUCCUACGGGAGGCAGCAGUAGGGAAUCUUCCGCAAUGGACGAAAGUCUGACGGAGCAACGCCGCGUGAGUGAUGAAGGCUUUCGGGUCGUAAAACUCUGUUGUUAGGGAAGAACAAGUGCUAGUUGAAUAAGCUGGCACCUUGACGGUACCUAACCAGAAAGCCACGGCUAACUACGUGCCAGCAGCCGCGGUAAUACGUAGGGGGCAAGCGUUAUCCGGAAUUAUUGGGGCGUAAAGCGCGCGCAGGUGGUUUUCUUAAGUCUGAUGUGAAAACCCCACCGGCUCAACCGUGGAAGGGUCAUUGGAAACUGGGAAACUUUGAAUGGCAGAAAGAGGAAAAGUGGAAUUCCC